rnacentral:rRNA from 1 species
UGGGGGAUAUUGCACAAUGGGGGAAACCCUGAUGCAGCGACGCCGCGUGAGUGAUGAAGUAUUUCGGUAUGUAAAGCUCUAUCAGCAGGGAAGAUAAUGACGGUACCUGACUAAGAAGCCCCGGCUAACUACGUGCCAGCAGCCGCGGUAAUACGUAGGGGGCAAGCGUUAUCCGGAUUUACUGGGUGUAAAGGGAGCGCAGACGGUCGUGCAAGUCUGAAGUGAAAUCCCUCGGCUCAACUGAGGAAUUGCUUUGGAAACUAUGCGACUUGAGUGCUGGAGAGGUAAGCGGAAUUCCUGGUGUAGCGGUGAAAUGCGUAGAUAUCAGGAAGAACAUCAGUGGCGAAGGCGGCUUACUGGACAGUAACUGACGUUGAGGCUCGAAAGCGUGGGGAGCAAACAGGAUUAGAUACCCUGGUA